UACGGGGGGGGCAAGCGUUGUUCGGAAUUACUGGGCGUAAAGGGCCAGUAGGCGGCCAACUAAGUCCGACGUGAAAUCCCCAGGCUUAACCUGGGAACUGCGUCGGAUACUGGAUGGCUUGAAUUCGGGAGAGGGAUGCAGAAUUCCAGGUGUAGCGGUGAAAUGCGUAGAUAUCUGGAGGAAUACCGGUGGCGAAGGCGGCAUCCUGGACCGAGAUUGACGCUGAACGGCGAAAGCCAGGGGAGCAAACGGG
rnacentral:rRNA from 1 species